rnacentral:rRNA from 1 species
UACGUAGGGUGCAAGCGUUAAUCGGAAUUACUGGGCGUAAAGGGCGCGUAGGCGGCCUGUUAAGUCGAACGUGAAAUCCCCGGGCUCAACCCGGGAACUGCGUCCGAUACUGGCAGGCUUGAAUCCGGGAGAGGGAUGCGGAAUUCCAGGUGUAGCGGUGAAAUGCGUAGAUAUCGAGAGGAACACCUGCGGCGAAGGCGGGUUGCUGGGCUGACACUGACGCUGAGGCGCGAAAGCUAGGGGAGCGAACGGG